rfam:Ictidomys tridecemlineatus contig099876, whole genome shotgun sequence.
UGGGUUGUAGCUCAGUGGUAGAGUGCUUGCCUAGUAAGCAUGAGGCACUUGGUUUGAUCCUCAGCACCACAU